GGGGAGGACCACCAGCUACCAUAGUUGCUAUUGACAAAGAGAGUUGGAAUGACAUCUUGGUGGACAGAAAGAUAUCUGGAGGUCAAGAACCCUAGAAGGGGUGUUUGCAAUUUUCUCUUAAGAAAUACGUUGUGGGAUUUUGACAUUAUAAAUAACAACACCCAAUAUCAACUUGGAAUUUGAAAGAUGAAAUCUCUGCGUUUUCAUUACUGAGCUUGAUUAGCAGCAUUCCACAGUGGCAUCCUUUACUACAGCAAGGUGGCUGAUUAUGAAAAACUGAGAAAAGCAAGAGUGAAUACUUUAAAAAUAUUUGUUGCAGGUGCAAGAAGGCAAGUGGAGGCAAAGACAACUCAGUGCUAGAGGUCCAGAUGUGGCUCCUUAAGGAGCUCCCUGCAGCCGGUCUCCUCAGGAUGGCUCCUCUGCACACAACCUGGGCAGCAUCUGCUUCCC